GGGAAAGGAACAUGCCAUCUUCCACGGCCACCCUUCAACCUCACUGACUCCUUUGGGAGCACUGAAAAGGUUAUGAAGAACUGGUUGGACAGGUGGCUUGGACUGGCCAUCGUGGCCCACACCCACACAGGUGGUUUCUGCCAUGCUAAGGUGGAUAGUGCAUUUUCCCACCCACACACCUUUAAAAAGAACUUCAUCCUGUUUUGUGUCACUUGAUCCUUGAGACUCCGAGGUGCCAAGAGUAAUAUAAUUAACUGCAAGAUUGUGUGGAGGUGAUUCCUGGGGGAAUCACUGGCAUUGUGUCACAAUGAGACACAAACAAAAGUACGCUCUCUUCGCUUUCGCAAUCUUGGGAUUAGGUUUGUGUCACACUGCAUCUGCCCAGGAGUGCAGGAACAGUUCAAACCCAGAUCAACCCCAGAGAGAACCUGAGGAGGACAGGAAUGGUAAGAACAAUUUUGUGCAGACUACUAUUUUAGCUACUGUUUGUAUUGUACAAUUCUUAAUAUCAGAAUGACCUUACCACUG